UAUGAAUAAUGAGGGUACAAGGCAGGACAUGUACACAUAUUUUCUUCAUGGUUUCAAAUAGUUUGUCCACAUUCAAUGAAUGACUUAUGUUUCUCACAUCCCUCAAGCAAGGCAGCAGAUUAGCAAGGAAAACUACAGCUACGAUUCAAGCACACACUAUUAUGAUUGCUUGCUGGUGUGCAUUUAUGUGCUUUUGGUAGACUUCACCAUAUUGGAUGAUGUAAUGUGAAAACAAGAUUGUAUGCUUCACUUAGUUUGCUGGAUGUGAUGUAAACAUGCAAGAGACAAGAUUAAUAUAUGUAUGUAUUGACCUCU